rnacentral:rRNA from 1 species
CACGUAGGGGGCAAGCGUUGUCCGGAAUCAUUGGGCGUAAAGAGCGUGUAGGCGGCCUGGUAAGUCCGCUGUGAAAGUCCAGGGCUCAACCCUGGAAUGCCGGUGGAAACUGUCAGGCUCGAGUCCGGAAGAGGCGAGUGGAAUUCCUGGUGUAGCGGUGAAAUGCGCAGAUAUCAGGAGGAACACCAAUGGCGAAGGCAGGCACUGG